UAGGGAAUCUUCCGCAAUGGGCGAAAGCCUGACGGAGCAACGCCGCGUGAGUGAUGAAGGUCUUCGGAUCGUAAAACUCUGUUAUUAGGGAAGAACAAAUGUGUAAGUAACUAUGCACGUCUUGACGGUACCUAAUCAGAAAGCCACGGCUAACUACGUGCCAGCAGCCGCGGUAAUACGUAGGUGGCAAGCGUUAUCCGGAAUUAUUGGGCGUAAAGCGCGCGUAGGCGGUUUUUUAAGUCUGAUGUGAAAGCCCACGGCUCAACCGUGGAGGGUCAAUGGAAACUGGAAAACGUGAGUGCAGAAGAGUAAAGUGGAAUUCCAUGUGUAGCGGUGAAAUGCGCAGAGAUAUGGAGGAACACCAGUGGCGAAGGCGACUUUCUGGUCUGUAACUGACGCUGAUGUGCGAAAGCGUGGGGAUCAAACAGG
rnacentral:rRNA from 1 species